rnacentral:rRNA from 1 species
UACGGGGGGGGCAAGCGCUGUUCGGAAUUACUGGGCGUAAAGGGCUCGUAGGCGGCCAACUAAGUCAGACGUGAAAUCCCUCGGCUUAACCGGGGAACUGCAUCUGAUACUGGAUGGCUUGAGUUCGGGAGAGGGAUGCGGAAUUCCAGGUGUAGCGGUGAAAUGCGCAGAUAUCAGGAGGAACACCGGUGGCGAAGGCGGUUCUCUGGGCAUGUCCUGACGCUGAGGAGCGAAAGUGUGGGGAGCGAACAGG